GGUUGAAAGCAAGCAGCUGAUUUUAUAUCACGGCAUUUUGCUGUCAGCAGUCGAGGGCGUCAAAGAAGCGAAGACAUUUAAUUGCCGUUAAAAUCUGAAGAAACUAUCAUAAAUAUGAAAAAAAAGGUAUUGUUAAUGGGUAAAAGUGGGUCUGGGAAAACAAGCAUGCGUUCGAUCAUAUUUGCAAACUACAUAGCAAGAGAUACAACCCGUCUAGGAGCCACGAUUGACGUCGAACACUCACAUGUGCGGUUUUUGGGCAAUUUGGUUUUAAAUCUCUGGGAUUGUGGUGGCCAAGAGGGUUUUAUGCAGCAAUAUUUUGCCUCACAACGUGAUAAUAUCUUUCGCAACGUGGAGGUUUUGAUUUAUGUGUUUGACGUCGAAAGUCGUGAGUUGGAACGUGACGUACAUUAUUAUCAAUCAUGCCUCGAAGCUUUGCUGCAGAAUUCCCCGGAUGCUAAAAUUUUCUGUUUAAUUCACAAGAUGGAUCUGGUCGCCGAAGAGCAACGCGAUAGCUUAUUCAAAGAUCGUGAAGAAGAUUUAGUGCGCCUGUCAAGACCGGGUAAUGUUACUUGCUUUAGAACUAGUAUAUGGGACGAAACUUUAUACAGGGCAUGGUCUAGCAUCGUGACCAUGUUAAUACCUAAUGUUGCCGCCUUGGAAAAUUCUUUAACACAUUUUGCCAAUGUUAUAGAGGCAGACGAAGUUUUGUUGUUCGAGAAGGCCACUUUUUUAGUGAUAUCGCACUGCCAAAGUAAAAAGAAUCGCGACUCUCAUCGCUUCGAAAAAGUUUCGAAUAUCAUCAAACAGUUUAAAUUAAGCUGCAGUAAAUUGGGUGGAAAAUUUCAUUCAAUUGAAGUUCGCAAUAGCGCGUUUGCCGCUUUCAUCGAUACCUUUACAAGUAAUACGUAUGUGAUGGUAGUUAUGUCGGAUCCCACCAUACCUUCCGAAGCUACACUGGUGAAUAUACGUAAUGCACGUAAAUAUUUUGAGGAACUGGAAACUUCCAAUAAUAAUACUGUUAAUCACCAUCAGUAUCAUUAAGUUUCAACGACAAAAAGUGUUUAAAAACUUGAGUUGCAAUUAAAUAGUUUAUAGAAAGAUGUUUUUUGGGCUAUUAAAAACACUCGCUGUUCGACACGUGGCUUCGAUAGUUGAUGUGACAUCGUUGGACAUAAACCCAAACGCAAAAAUUACCUUCGAGUUUAUUCGUUUCGGAUGGACUUUUUGCUAAUAUAUGAUCGUUGCUUGAUUUUUGAUUGCGUGUGUAUCAGAUGAAUUGAUUCAUCUGAGUUUGUAUAAGCAGUCGAAUGGAGAAUGCCGAUCUCCUUUGCAAUUGCAAAGUGCUAAGAUGUUAGUCACUCUCCAACAUGGAGCCCGAAAUGCCGUCCAAAUCGACGAUCUUGUUUGAAACUGAAAUCUUCCGAACGAAAACCCCAGCGUCUUAAAUGCACCCUAUUAUAUGCAGUUUUUUCAGUCUGCGCCUUGCAUUUACAUUAUAUUCCACGAGAGUUAUGCGGUUGAAUUAAAUUCAAACUUUGUUGGGUUGAAAUUGAAAAAACCAAUUUGCAAGUCAGCGCCUUAAAUCCUAAACACACCCGUAACAGUGAAUUCAUUAAAAUUAGGAAACAAAACAAACACGCCGCGAUAGCCUAGGCAUCAGAGGCGCAUCAAAUGUAUACUAUAAAAGUAAAUUAUUAAUGCGGUAGAAAGUU